AUUUUUACAUCCCCAUCCCCUCCAUAGUCUGUCUUAAUGGAUCACUGACCAUCAAAGCGAUACCAUUAACUUUCAGUAUGACCAUGAGGCAUAUUUAUUUCUCUCACUGAUUUCCUACUAGGCUCAUGGAGCUGUUUGUGCAGCCUCAACUAUGGUAUAGUCAAGAUGGCCACAGGAAAGACUGGACUGAGGCCAGAGGGAUAGCCUCAGAGAGGCUAGAAUGGGAUUCUAGAGUUCUGCUCAAGGGAACUGGACAAGGUGCUGAGGACAAUUCAAAGAUGAAAAAGACAACUUAGUUCCUGCCUUCCAAGAGCUCACAAUUUAGCAAUGGAAAAAAAUAUAGAGACUCCUACUUUGAAGCUUUAUUCAUACAUUAACACUUCUCUUGGACGUUUUAAGAGACAGACGUCACAGACAACAUACAGAACAACUUGUCUGCAGUGGUUGCUCUCUGAUCUUGGCAAGAACAGUACAAACUGUCUGUAUCCUGCCUGUAUCCUGCGGCUAGUUUUCUCCAAACCCUAAGGCUAUCACUCAGAACAUCGGUUAUCUAAGUACUUAAAAUACAUGUAGCCAUUUGUUACAAACAAGACCAAAAGUGAUAACUCAGAAAAAGAAAUUUAUGUUCAGGGUUAAGUGAUUUAAGACAAUAUGACAUGAAAAGAUUUAAUGUUAGUAUUUCUGCAAGUGUUUUUAUGGAUUUUGAAGGAUCAGAAACUAUGAAAAAAUUCUGAAACUGCCAAAAUUUGUCAGGGCCAAAAUAACAUUUAAAAUCAUCAACCCUCAAUUAUCUGCUUCAAAGGUCAGAUCUGAGCUUGGUGGUGCAUGUCUGUAAUCCCAGCACUGAGGAGGUUGAGGCAGGAGGAUGAAUUUUUGAGGCCAGCCUGGAGUACAUAGUGAGACUGUUUCAACCUUCCUCAAAUCAAAGGUGCCGGGAAUCGAACUCAGGACCUUGUGCUUGCCAGUGUACCAUCUGGAAUGUGGAUACAAUGGCUGGAAUAUCUGCAUUUAUAUUGGACCAUGACGACAUCAAAGUUUACACCUAGAAGGAGUCUUUAUUUCAUGGCACUACCAUUUCAGCACUGAAUUUCCUCUCUGAAAUUCUAUAGUAUUUAUGCUACCUUUAUUUCGUGGCAAUGCCCACAGAAGAAAUAGUUUUGAGGGGGAAGAUGAGUUUGGAUUUUGGGCAUGUGAUGGUGAAACACUGGCAGGACCACUCAGAGAGAUGUAGGCUGCUCACAUCCACGGAAUGA
ensembl:lncRNA